rnacentral:tRNA from 1 species
GGCUGCGUAGUUCAGUGGUGGAACGCCUGUCUCAUGAGCAGGAGGCCGGGAGUUCAAUUCUCCCCGCAGCCA